rnacentral:lncRNA from 1 species
UUUUUUUCUUUUUUUUUAUUGAUGUAUAUUGAUUUAUAGUGCUGUUAAUUUCUGCUGUAAGCAAAAUCGUUCAUAUAUGUAUAUUCAUUUUCAUAUGGUUUAUCACAGGAUAAACCUGAAUAUUGAAUAUAGUUACCUGUGCUAUACAGUGGGAUCUUCUUUAUCCAUUCUGUAUAUAAAGUUUGCACCUGUUAAUCCCAGUCCAUCCCUCCCCCAUCCCCUCUCCCCCAUGGCAAUCACAAGUCUGUUCUGUCUGUGAGUCCAUUUUUGUUUCAUAGAUAAGUUCCUUUGUGUCAUAUUUUAGAUUCCACAUGUAUGUGAUAUCAUACGGUAUUUGUCUAUCUCUUUCUGACUUAACUUCACUCGGUAUGAGUGAAUCUCUAGGUCUAUCCAUGUUGCCUCAGAUGACAUUAUUUCAUUGUUUUUUUAUGGCUGAGUAAUAUUCUAGUGUGUGUGUGUGUCCACCACAUCGUUAUGCAUUCACCUGUUACUGGACAUUUAUGUUGCUUCUAUGCCUUGGCUAUAAUAGUGUAAGUAUUUGCAGCACUUGUAAAUAGUGCUGCAGUGAACAAUGGGGUACAUGUAUCUUUUUGAAUUAUAGUUUUAUCUGAAUAUCUGCCCAGAAGUGGGAUUGCUGGUCAUAUGGUUAUUCUACCUUUAGUUUUUGAGGAACCUCCAUACUGUUUUCUGUAGUGGCUGUAUCAAUUUAGAUUCCCACCAGCAGUGUGAGAGGGUUCCCUUUUCUCCACACCCUCUCCAGCAUUUGUUAUUUGUUGAUUUGUUAAUGAUGGCCCUCUGACCAGUGUGAGGUGGUACCUCAUAGUAGUUUUGAUUUGCAUUUCUGUAGUAAUUAGUAAUGUUGAACAUUUUUUCAUGUCUCUAUUAGCCAUCUGUAUCUUCUUUGGAGAAAUGUCUGUUCAGGUCUUCUGCGCAUUUUUCAAUUGAGUUGUUGGGUUUUUUGUUGUUGAGUCUUUCCUCCUUUCUUCCAUUUGGAAAUGAGAGGAUUCAUACUCUGGCAGGUGAAGUGAAGAAUCACUUAAUUCAGGAGUUCCCGUCGUGGCGCAGUGGUUAACGAAUCCGACUAGGAACCAUGAGGUUGCGGGUUUGGUCCCUGCCCUUGCUCAGUGGGUUAAUGAUCCGGCGUUGCCAUGAGCUGUGGUGUAGGUUGCAGACGUGGCUCGGAUCCCGCGUUGCUGUGGCUCUGGCGUAGGCCCAUGGCUACAGCUCCGAUUCAACCCCUAGCCUGGGAAUCUCCAUAUGCCGCGGGAGCGGCCCAAGAAAUAGCAAAAAGACGAAAAAAAAAAAAAAGAAGAAUCACUUAAUUCGAACAAAGCAUGAUAGUGAAUGCGUGCAGAGGCCAUGACUGAGAAAACAAGUGGUCCUUUGAAAAUAUUAGGCACGUUUUUUGUUUGUUUUACAAGACUUGCUAUUUCUCUUUUUAAGUCAUUUUACUAGUAGCCGGUUGGUGGAAAUUGUUUCUGAGGCGGCAUACACCUCAAAUGGGAAUAUUAGCAAUUUAUAUAGCUUUUGUGAAUUUUUCAGUAAAACUACACACUAACUCUUACCUUACUCUGGAUUGUUGAAUAUCCCUAUUCAUUCAUGACCUCUUUAUAGAUUUGACACUUGCUGACUCAAGUCAUCAGGUUUGAUAAUUUGGCAAUCUCCAUGUCCAGGAGAAAAUCAAACUCUGUGAUGAACUGCUGAUAAGCUUUGGGGAAAGGGUUAUUCAUCGAGGGCACAUUUGUUCACGUGAAAGUACGCAGCCCCCUACCCCUCCCACUUCUACCCCCACCCCACCCCCAGGGAUGGAAAGGCAGGAUCUGCAGGUGUACCAAUUCUGGGAGCUGAGAGGUAUGUGCUGUUCUGCCGCCCCAGUUGGCUCUUCGGCUUCUGCUUGGACACUUCCCAGAUAAGGAGCCCUUGUGCCUGGUGACUCGGCUAUGCGGCCCUGACUGUCAGCAAGUCCCUCUGUGGAACUACUGUUCUCUGCUGUUCUGAUCGUGCUGCUGAUACCCAAAAGCAAUGCCCCUUCUCUCCUCUUCCGCUGCCCAGAUGGCAUCCUGUCCUCCUUAUCAGUGUUCAUGUUCAGCUGUGUCUCUUGUAUGAUAGGGGCCCAGAACUGGAGGUGUUUUUCCAAAUGUCCCAGAUGCAUAGAUGCAGUGGAUGUUGGCCUCUCCUUGUAGUCUGGGGUGGCCUGGGGGCUGUGGUCAUUGUGGAGGUACCAGGCUGUUUGCUGGGAAAUGUAUGCUGCCCAGGUGAUGAGCCUGCACCCUCGAUUUUCCCUGUAUUGCAUAUGCUGGUCACCAUCAGGUGCUUCGGGCUCUAGAGGAGUCAAUCUCACUCCCUUUCAGAGGCAUAAAGUACUCCUGGGAGUUCCCACUAUGGCGCCGUGGGUUAAGAAUCCCACUUCGGCAACUCUGGUGACUGCGGAGGUUCAGGUUCCAUCACGCCACCGAAGCAGUGAGUUAAAGGAUGGAGCAUUGCCACAGCUGCAGCUGGGAUUCAGUCACUGGCUUGGGAACUUCCAUAUACUGCAGCUGUGGCCAUUAAAAAAAAA